GUGCCAGCAGCCGCGGUAAUACGGAGGGUGCGAGCGUUGUUCGGAAUUAUUGGGCGUAAAGCGCGUGUAGGCGGCCGUUUAAGUCCGAUGUGAAAGCCCUGGGCUCAACCCAGGAAGUGCAUUGGAAACUGGACGGCUUGAAUACGGGAGAGGGAAGUGGAAUUCCGAGUGUAGGGGUGAAAUCCGUAGAUAUUCGGAGGAACACCGGUGGCGAAGGCGGCUUCCUGGACCGAUAUUGACGCUGAGACGCGAAAGCGUGGGGAGCAAACAGGAUUAGAAACCCGUGUAGUCC
rnacentral:rRNA from 1 species